rnacentral:lncRNA from 1 species
UCUAAGCAUAUAUAACAACAAAGAAUAAGCCUCAAAUGGAGUUCCCCAAGUUUUUAAUUGUCUUCUUUCUCUUACUUGUUCCAUUUUCAACUGCAUUAAUUCCUCUCGGUAAAUCUCAUAAGAUCCCUUAACAUACUUGUUUGUUUACUUUUGUCGUGUUAAUUAUUUUUUCUAUUAUUAAUUUACAUCUUCCUAUUUUUUGUGUAGUUGGUGCCACAAAUGAUGCUCAAAAACCAUUUUGCCUCAAGAAAUGUACUCCUAAGUAUACAGAGGGGCAAUGCAACCUUGAAUGUAGGCAAGACUUUGAAUAUGGAAAAUGUGAAUUUCAUAACAAAGUUCCUACUUGUUGUUGUCACGGAGCCUCUAAUGUAUGAAUCCGUAUUUACCAUAACAAUAAUAAUAGAAUAUAUGAG